UGCGGAUGAGGUAGGCGGAAUUUGUGGUGUAGCGGUGAAAUGCGUAGAUAUCACAAGGAACACCGAUUGCGGAGGCAGCUUACUAAACCGUUACUGACGCUCAUGCACGAAGGCGUGGGGAUCAAACAGGAUUAGAUACCCUGGUAGUCCACGCAGUAAACGAUGAUUACUUGCUGUUUGCGAUACACAGUAAGCGGCGAAGCGAAAGCGUUAAGUAAUCCACCUGGGGAGUACGUUCGCAAGAAUGAAACUCAAAGGAAUUGACGGGGGCCCGCACAAGCGGAGGAACAUGUGGUUUAAUUCGAUGAUACGCGAGGAACCUUACCCGGGCUUGAAAUGCAUUCGACGGGGUUGGAAACAGCCUUUCCCUUCGGGGCGGAUGCGUAGGUGCUGCAUGGUUGUCGUCAGCUCGUGCCGUGAGGUGUCGGCUUAAGUGCCAUAACGAGCGCAACCCCUGUCGUCAGUUACCAUCGGUAUAAGCCGGGGACUCUGGCGAGACUGCCAUCGUAAAGAUGCGAGGAAGGCGGGGAUGACAUCAAAUCAGCACGGCCCUUAUGUCCGGGGCG
rnacentral:rRNA from 1 species